rnacentral:rRNA from 1 species
UGCAGUCGCACGCUUCUUUCCUCCCGAGUGCUUGCACUCAAUUGGAAAGAGGAGUGGCGGACGGGUGAGUAACACGUGGGUAACCUACCCAUCAGAGGGGGAUAACACUUGGAAACAGGUGCUAAUACCGCAUAACAGUUUAUGCCGCAUGGCAUAAGAGUGAAAGGCGCUUUCGGGUGUCGCUGAUGGAUGGACCCGCGGUGCAUUAGCUAGUUGGUGAGGUAACGGCUCACCAAGGCCACGAUGCAUAGCCGACCUGAGAGGGUGAUCGGCCACACUGGGACUGAGACACGGCCCAGACUCCUACGGGAGGCAGCAGUAGGGAAUCUUCGGCAAUGGACGAAAGUCUGACCGAGCAACGCCGCGUGAGUGAAGAAGGUUUUCGGAUCGUAAAACUCUGUUGUUAGAGAAGAACAAGGACGUUAGUAACUGAACGUCCCCUGACGGUAUCUAACCAGAAAGCCACGGCUAACUACGUGCCA